UUGAAUAUAUAAAUAAAGGUGUUACAUAAACAUACAUUUAAAUCAAAAGAAAAAAAAUUUUAUUCAUCAACUUUGAUAAAACAAAAAAAAAACCUAUAUCCGUUUUCUGAAUCUUCUUUCUUCAUUUAACACCAUUCAACCAUAGAAACUUGAUGACAAUUCUUCACUAACCUGCAAUCAAAAUAUUUUUUUUUUUGAAAAAGAAGAAUCAAAAAGAUAUUCCAAAUAAAACAUUAAUGUUUGGAGAGUCACAUUCAAGAUUGAGUAAUACAUACAAAUCACAUAUAACGAUUAAAUGAGAAACUAAAUAUAAAGAAAGAAUAGAAAAACUUCAUUUGUUUUGGUUGAAAGAUAUUCCAAGCAAAACAUUGAUGUUAUGACAUCCUUCUUACAUGUAAGAUUUUAUAUAGCACAAAAGACACAAAAUAUUGACCUUUUUAUAGUAAACUUUUCACUAAAUGUUAAUUAAACAUAAUAUACGUUAUAAAACUUUUGAGUGUUAAAUCAUAAUUAAGAAAACUUUUGAGUUGCAUUAGUUAAAAAAGGAGGUUUCAAAUGAAUGUGGUUUGAGAAAGUUAAAAAAUGGGGGUUUCAAAUGCAUGAGAUUCAAGAAAAAAUGCUAGCUUUAUAAGUAUGUAUGAUUUUCAUACCUCAAGCAAAGUCUCACUCAAUGAGUAGUGAGUACAGUACACAAGGAUCGCUCAUACCCCUUCAAUCCAUUCUUUGUAAAAAGUGAAGAGUAACAUUUUUUAAGUUUGCAAAUACUACAAAUCAUAAGACUGGGAAUCAAGAAAACGAAAAAUUGAAAUCUUAACUAAGAUAAACGGUCAAAAAUAUAAAAUAAUCAAAAAAACAACCCUAGAUUUGAUGGUCAUGUUGUCACAUCCAUUUCCUGUAGUUGUUGAGUGUGCCAAACAUUUAUCAAACUAACAUAUUGUAUGAAGUUUACUUUCAUGUAUAAUAUAAUAAUUCCAACUGUUAGAAUUCCAAAUUAUAACUAUAAAGAGUCAUUAUACAUCCAUCAUCACUUUUAAACAAAAGGUUAAAAUGGUCAUUUUCGUUCCUCUAUAAGUCUAAUAGUAAAAAAUCUAAAUUAAUAACUACAGACAUUCAUUUAUGAAUUUAGUUUAUAAUAGUUCUUAAAAAAAUAGUCAUUGGAUACUCAUAAUCACUUUUGAAUAGAUGUGCAAAAUGAUCAUUUACUUUUAUGCAUGACUACAAGAGUUAGAAUUCCCAAAUUAUAACUAUAAUUAGUUAUUACAAUUUACAUAUAAAUAGUCAUUUGAAAUUCGUCAUCACUUUCUUGUAUAAGUCCAAUAGUUACAAAAAGAAGUUAGGAACUUAGGAUACCUUUGAUGAUAAAUCCACAAGGCAUUCAACUAUAGCUUCUUGAUCUUUUUUCCUUAAAAUUGACGGCAUUAGCUCCAAGGAGAUGCUAGAAGAUAGUCGCUUGGCAUGAACUUGUUAACUUGUUGAGAAAGUAAUGGAUGUCAUGCAUACUUGAAACAUAAACGUGAUGGAAGGACUUGAAACAUUUCCAUAGUUGUCAUACCUGAAGCAAAUACGAAUGGAAAUAUUGUUGAAUUAUAUAGAAAUCCAAAAGAUAUAUAUAUAUAUAUAUAUAUAUAUAUAUAUAUAAUGAUUAUUGGACAUCAUUAGUAGGAAAGUCGCAUUCAUAAAAUCUUAAUAGUCUUCAACCCAUAGUAGCUGGAAAGAACUUGAGUAUUACCAUUCUACCAUUUAAUUGAAGCUCCCACAUCUUCCAAACUAAGAGGACAUACGGAAGUCAAUCGUGAGUUAAAAUGAGCAUAUAUCAUUUAUCGCCCAUACGCCUUUACUUUAUCAAAAGACUUCAUGGUACCUAUAGAUGAAAAAAUUAAACUUAUGUUCAUUAAUUGCAAAUUGAAAAGGUAAAAGGAAAUUUAAUAAUAUAAUCAGUUUGGCUAUAUAGAUAAUAGGAGACUCAUCAUUUCCUUUACUGUGCACACAGGAGCUUCCUCAUCCUCUCAUUUGCUACUAUUUAAGAAACAUGGAUUUCUUCAAAAUUGCAAUAAAUAAAACUUAUAUUAGUGUCAAAUCCAUUUUAAAGAAAGUAAUGAAAGGUUAAUUUUGAAGAAGAAAAACUUAAAAACAUGAUCUUUUACGGCAUCAAAGAGAAAAAUACUAUCAAUAACUUUAGCCAUCAACAAUGCAGUUACGAUUUGGGGUUUUACGAUUAGCAUGGAUAACGAAUAUAAACGUGAUUUUGGGGGAGGUUUUGCGGAAGACUACCUUUGACAUUUCAAGGUUUUAUCUUUUUGAAUUCCUGCUUCUCCAUGAAACUAAUAAAAACAAAUCUAAAAAAAGGAGCCAAGGAAGUGAUGAAGAAACUGAGAUUCAAGAAAUCAACAAAAAAAUAAAAAAGUUAAAGAAACGUAUACCCGAUGUUAGAGCCGAUGAAGAUGGAAAUCCAAAUCAACCUUAAAUGGAAACCAAAUUGUACCAAAAAGCCUAGAUCAAUGGUGGCAAAACAUAAUGUUAAAGCCUUAAG
rnacentral:lncRNA from 1 species